rnacentral:rRNA from 1 species
CAGUAGCCGCGGUAACACGUAGGGGGCAAGCGUUGUCCGGAAUUAUUGGGCGUAAAGCGCGCGCAGGCGGUCAUUUAAGUCUGGUGUUUAAUCCCGGGGCUCAACCCCGGAUCGCACUGGAAACUGGGUGACUUGAGUGCAGAAGAGGAGAGUGGAAUUCCACGUGUAGCGGUGAAAUGCGUAGAUAUGUGGAGGAACACCAGUGGCGAAGGCGACUCUCUGGGCUGUAACUAACGCUGAGGCGCGAAAGCGUGGGGAGCAAACAGGAUUAGAUACCCCAGUAGUCCCUGUCUCUUAUACA